UGCUUAGCCGUAAACCUAGGUAGUUAAAUAACAAAACUACUCGCCAGAGAACUACUAGCCACUGCUUAAAACUCAAAGGACUUGGCGGUGCCCUAGACCCUCCUAGAGGAGCCUGUUCUAUAAUCGAUAAACCACGAUACACCUCACCCCUUCUAGCUUUACAGUCUAUAUACCGCCAUCGUCAGCUCACCCCAAUAGGGCUCUAAAGUGAGCAAGAUCAUUAAACCAUAAAAACGUUAGGUCAAGGUGUCGCAUAUGAAGGGGGAAGCAAUGGGCUACAUUUUCUACAAUAGAACAUAACGGAUUGUCUAUUGAAACAUAGACAUGAAGGAGGAUUUAGUAGUAAAUUAAGAAUAGAGAGCUUAAUUGAAAUAG
rnacentral:rRNA from 1 species